GGAAGAGUGUCCGAGUGGUUUAAGGAGCUAGUCUUGAAAACUAGUGAUGUCGAAAGGCACCGUGGGUUCGAAUCCUACCUCUUCCGCCA
rnacentral:tRNA from 1 species